UACAGAGGGUGCGAGCGUUGUCCGGAAUCACUGGGCGUAAAGGGCGCGUAGGUGGCCACCAUAAGGCCGCGGUGAAAGUCUGGGGCUCAACCCCGGAUCGGCCGCGGCGACUGUGGGGCUUGGGUACCGUAGAGGCAGACGGAAUUCCGGGUGUAGCGGUGGAAUGCGUAGAGAUCCGGAAGAACACCAGUGGCGAAGGCGGUCUGCUGGGCAGUUGCUGACACUGAGGCGCGACAGCGUGGGGAGCAAACAGG
rnacentral:rRNA from 1 species